AAGGUGUCUGGGUAUCAGAUUCUCUCUUCCCAGGAAGUGCCUUUGGAAAUUUACUUACUGCCUACUGAGAAGCCCUGCAAGCUGAAAGGCUAGCUCUGAAGGUAUGUUCAUCAACAUCGUAGAAGAAGAGGACACGUGUUUCGCACUGCACUCUUUAAGAGGAGAAACGGAAAUAACAGGGAAAAGUUUUUAAAACUUCAGCAGGUUUCCCUUUGCAGUUUCUGACUUAGCCAGAAGACAUCAGGCAAAAGGAACAUCUCCAUGUGAGCCAACAUUUCAGAAAGGCUUCAGGGGUGUUGGAGAAUGAAUGCAGUGAUUUUCUGAAGAAAAGUAGGGGAGUAUUCAAAUUAAUAAAGAGAACCAAUGUUAUUUUAUCUUAUCUACUUGUUUAUCUCCUGUAGGGAAAUCUUUUUCAGAUAAUAUUUAUGGAACAGAAAACAUGUAUUUACUUGAAACUCUGCUGUCAUGUUGAAUAUUGAUUCUGGAGUCCAUUUUCCAUUGAAAAGAUUUUGAUACUAAUAUGCUAUACAAACAGAAUUUUGGUGGAGAGGGUGUCUUAGUCUGUUUUGUGUUGCUGUAACCUGAGAAUACCUGAG
rnacentral:lncRNA from 1 species